GGAGGGAUGGCCGAGCGGUUUAAGGCGGCGGUCUUGAAAACCGCUAGUCGGCGAAAGCCGGCUCGUGGGUUCGAAUCCCACUCCCUCCG
rnacentral:tRNA from 1 species